GGAGCGGCCGAUGCCUGAUUAGCUAGUUGGUGGGGUAAAGGCCUACCAAGGCUACGAUCAGUAGUUGGUCUGAGAGGACGACCAGCCACACUGGGACUGAGACACGGCCCAGACUCCUACGGGAGGCAGCAGUGGGGAAUUUUGGACAAUGGGCGAAAGCCUGAUCCAGCAAUGCCGCGUGAGUGAAGAAGGCCUUCGGGUUGUAAAGCUCUUUCAGUCGAGAAGAAAAGGUUGUGACAAAUAAUCACAACUUAUGACGGUAUCGACAGAAGAAGCACCGGCUAACUACGUGCCAGCAGCCGCGGUAAUACGUAGGGUGCAAGCGUUAAUCGGAAUUACUGGGCGUAAAGGGUGCGCAGGCGGCUUUGUAAGUCAGAUGUGAAAUCCCCGGGCUUAACCUGGGAAUU
rnacentral:rRNA from 1 species